GCCGAUUGCGGUGGCGUGUGCCUGUAGUCCCAGCUACUUGGGAGGCUGAGGUGGGAGGACUGCUUGAACUCAGGAGUUCUGGGCUGUAGUGUGCUAUGCCAAUCAGGUGUCCGCACUAAGUUCUGCAUCAAUUUGGUGACCUCCCGGGAGUGGGGGACCACCAGGUUGCCUAAGGAGGGGUUAAGCAGCCCAGGUUGGAAACAGAGCAGGUCAAAACUCCCGUGCUGAUCAGUAGUGGGAUCACGCCUGUGAAUAGCCACUGCACUCCAGCCUGGGCAACAUAGCAGACCUCAUCUCU
rnacentral:SRP_RNA from 1 species